CGAAAUUUUGGUGUUUCAAAGAAAGACAAGGAUCGGGAUUGAAGGUUUUAGCAAAGGUAUGGAUUGGUUAGCCAAGCAUCGCGCAGAGGAGCUAAUGCAUAGGAUGAUGAUUGUGACACGCUAGGGUGGACUUGGGCCUUAGUGAUAUAAAAUGAAGCUAGACUUAGUUUAAUUAUGUGAUGUACUUUUGUUUUCUUCUAUUUUAAGACAAUAUAACAUGUUGGUUCUUGUUUUGAACGAUGUAUUCCACCCUUGGGUGAUGAAUAAAAUAUUAUUU
rnacentral:lncRNA from 1 species